rnacentral:rRNA from 1 species
GACGAACGCUGGCGGCGUGCCUAAUACAUGCAAGUCGAGCGAUGAGAGUUGGUGCUUGUACCGCCUAGGUGAGCGGCGGACGGGUGAGUAACGCGUGGAGAAUCUACCUAUAAGACGGGGACAACUUCGGGAAACGGAUGCUAAUACCGCAUAAAAUCUUUAAACACAAGGUUUAAUAGUGAAAGACGCAAUUGCAUCACUCAAUAAUGAGCCCGCGUCGUAUUAGCUAGUUGGUGAGGUAAAGGCUCACCAAGGCGAAGAUACAUAGCCGACCUGAGAGGGUGAUCGGCCACACUGGGACUGAGACACGGCCCAGACUCCUACGGGAGGCAGCAGUAGGGAAUCUUCCGCAAUGGGCGAAAGUCUGACCGAGCAACGCCGCGUGAGUGAUGAAGGUUUUCGGAUCGUAAAACUCUGUUGUUAGAGAAGAACGUAUGUGUAAGUAGCUAUCCACGUAAUGGACGUACCCUAUCCAGAUAGCGCCGGUAACUUCCGG